CUCACUGCUCUGCACAUCAAGCUCCGUGCCACCGGUGGGAACAAGACAAAAACACCUGGUCCUGGGGCACAGUCUGCUCUCCGAGCACUUGCUCGUUCUGGAAUGAAAAUUGGACGUAUAGAGGAUGUCACUCCAAUUCCCAGUGAUAGCACUCGUAGGAAAGGUGGUAGAAGAGGUAGACGGCUGUGAGCUUUUGCUAUUCUUAUCCAGUCAGAGCUGUUUUUGUUCUUGCAAUGCAAUAGUUGUGUUUUCCAAUUGAAUUGCCGGACCUUGGAAAUUAGCCAAUUUUGAAACUAAUUUGUAGUUCCGGUCUCUAUGGGAUUCGCCAAAGAUUUAUUUUCAGCGCAUUUGGAAACAA